rnacentral:tRNA from 2 species
GCCCGGGUGGCGAAAUCGGUAGACGCAGCAGACUCAAAAUCUGCCGCCGCGAGGUGUGUCGGUUCGAGUCCGACCCCGGGCACAA